CUUGUUGCUUAUGAUAUGAUCUUUCUAAUUUUCAAGCCAAAUUAGACUUUUGACCCCAAUUUCACGGUCCACUGAACAUAGAAAAUGAAAGUGGGAGUUUCAGGUUAAAAGUUUUUGUCAAGGUAGUUUUUGAUGAAGCUGAAGUCCAAUCAACUUGAAACUUAGUACACUUGUUGCUUAUAGUAUGAUCUUUCUUAUUUUAAUGCCAAAUUAGAUAUUUACCGAAUUUCACGGUCCAUGGAACAUGGAAAAUUAUAGUGCGAGUGGCGCAUCCUUGUACUUUGGACACAUUCUUGUUCUUGUCAAUUUUCGGACUUCUUCAAUUCCCCUUAGACACAGGGUUAAAUAUUUUGCCCCAUCACACCCACUUUUCUUUUCAUAGAAAUAAUUAAAUGAUCAUUAACAAAAUCUAAGCACACUGAAGAUUUCCUUUCUUACAAUUUGAGACCCAAAUAAUACCAAUGCUAAAUAUAAGGUAAAAGUCGGAGAAAUCUCUUCCAUGCCAUUUUUAUGCCCCACCUUCGAUAGUAGAGGGGUAUUAUGUUUUCUGGUCUGUGGCUCCGUUCGUCUGUGCGUCCGUCUGUGCGUCAGUUCAGGUUAAAGUUUUUGGUCAAGGUAGUUUUUGAUGAAGCUGAAGUCCAAUCAACUUGAAACUUAGUACACUUGUUGCUUAUGAUAUGAUCUUUCUAAUUUUAAAGCCAAAUUAGACUUUUGACCCCAAAUUCACGGUCCACUGAACAUAGAAAAUGAAAGUGGGAGUUUCAGGUUAAAGUUUUUGGUCAAGGUAGUUUUUGGUGAAGCUGAAGUCCAAUCAACUUGAAACUUAGUAAACUUGUUGCUUAUGAUAUAAUCUUUUUAAUUUUGAAGCCAAAUUAGACUUUUGACCCCAAUUUCACGGUCCACUAAACAUAGAAAAUGAAAGUGGGAGUUUCAGGUUAAAGUUUUUGGUCAAGGUAGUUUUUAGUGAAGCUGAAGUCCAAUCAACUUGAAACUUAUAUAUAAUUAGUACAUAUGUUCCCUAUAGUAUAAUCUUUCUAAUUUUAAUACCAAAUUAGAUUAUUACCCAAUUUCACGGUCCAUGGAACAUGGAAAAGGAUAGUGCGAGUGGGGCAUCCGUGUUCUUUGGACACAUUCUUGUUUUAACAUCAAA
rnacentral:lncRNA from 1 species